CCAGAAAGCACACUGGUGCUCCUGGUGGACCAGUCCUCUUCUUUAACAGAAGAAAACAGCCAAGAGGUAAAGCAAACGACCCAAGGCUACACAGCCAGCAAGAAUAUGGAGGGCGCAGAAAUGGGAGCUAAAUCGCUGACUGUGGUGAAAGAUAUUUAUUAGUCUCUUUCUAUACUUGCCUUUUCUCAAAAAAAUAAAAAUAAAAGGGGUUUGCGUUGGUAUUCUGUCUAAGCUCCACCCCCACAGCUACCAGGCAACAGCCAGGUAUGCUCCACCCCACGGUUGCCUGGCAACAGCCAGCUGUGCCUGACUAUAAAGGGGGCUACUUGCCUCCUCCUCUCCCUCUUAUUUCUCUCUUGCUCUCUCUUGUUCCUCCUCUUCUCGUGCCCCUCUUUGUCCCUGUCCCUUCUUUUCCCAUCUCCCCCUUUCCUCCCACGUGCCCAUGGCCAGCCUUUCCUUCUUCUACUACUCUUCUUCUCUCACUAAACCUUUCCACGUGGAACCAUGUUGGCUUGGUGUACCUUGUCUGGGCGCUGGCUGAGAUUUUAAAUACCAACAAUAUGCAGGCUCAGGUCAGCAGGUGUAGAAGUUGUGACUCCAAAAGGAGACACUCAAGAAUCUGAAACAUGUGAUAUCAUCAACAAAGACACCUUCAGCUCAGAGUUCCCAGAAAACACGCCUUGGAAUACGCAAGCCAUCGCAAGUUCGUAUGUUUGUGAUGAACAACUACUGGAAAGGUCCUCCCCUCAAAAAGUUUUGUAAAUCACACAUUCAGCAAGAUCCAACCAAUUUACAAGCUCAACACACACCUUCAACCAUCAGAAGGGCAACUCAGCAUCACCGUGUCACAGUGGACUCCGAGGGACCCUACACCUUAUGAAUGGGCAUUGUCCUCAAGAAGGUGAUGGAAAAUACCAGUGUACUUCAAGUAAUUUCAUACCCAGGAGGCUGCUCUGGCGAGAUGGUUUGGAGCAGUGGAUCCCAGCCUUCCCUAAGGCUGUGACCCUUUAAGGCCUCAUGUUGUGGUGAGCCCUGUAAAAGGAUCAUUCAACUCCCCAGGGUGAGAAUGGCCAAUUCAGAGCCUUUCAUCUUUAACCUCCAGCUCCUUAGAUUGUUCAUGUUUUAAGCCUGAUCAAAAGCAGCCUUUAUGUUUUCCUCCACAUCCCUGGUUAAAUUUUUCUGUUUAAGUCCAAGAGCAAAAAACUCUGCCAUACCUGGAGAGAUCCCCUCCUGGGGUGAUAAACACUUGACUUACGACUUUGUGGGCCAUCCAGAUGCUGAGACAUCAUGCGUCCCAUGGAUGUCGCAUGCACCCACGUCUUCUUCAGAAUGUUAAGCUUCAACCCGAACAACACAAUAAUAAAGACUGUCAGGAGUUCCUCAGUACAGUUAAGACACAUCUUUGGAAAGGAGAAAAAGAAGAACUGCACAGAGAUGUCACUGAUUAAGAAAGAAAAAAAGGUACAGGAAGAACCAGGCGGAGCGACAACAGAAACUGAAGAAGUCACAGGCUUCAGUGGUGGUUUGCACCACCAUAUAUCAUAUGUGAGUCAGGAGAAUGCAGGCAUCUCAUGCCCUAGGAAUUUCCCAUAUUUCUAGGAAAAUACAUCUUCUCCCUCUGCUGGGAACGUGGGGUUCAUCCAGUAGGAAGUGUAAAAGGAGCUCACUGUAAAGCAUAUGGUACAAAGCUACAGGUGGAGAUGAAGAGAUGGCUCAGUGGUCAGAGCGAGUUCAGUCUCCAGCACCUGCUUGGGGCUCACAACUGUCCACUACUCCAGCCCAGAAGAUCCAAUACCCUCCUCUGGCUCCAGCAGGUACUCAGUGCACUCAUAUGGUGCACAUAUAUGCGUUCAGACAUAACACAUAAAAUAAAUUUUAUUUAAAGAAAAA